GGUCAAGUUAUUAAGGGUGUAGGGCGAAUGCCUUGGCACUAGGAGCCGAUGAAGGACGUGAUAAGCUGCGAUAAGCUUGGGGGAGUUGCACGUAAACUGUGAUCCCAAGAUUUCCGAAUGAGGAAACUCACUUAGAGUAAUGUCUAAGUAUCGUAUAGUGAAUACAUAGCUAUGCGAGGGGAACCCGGGGAACUGAAACAUCUAAGUACCCGGAGGAAGAGAAAGAAAUUCGAUUCCGUAAGUAGCGGCGAGCGAACGCGGAACAGGCCAAACCAGUAAAGUUUUCUUUACUGGGGUUGCGGACAUAUCAUAACGAAGAGGCUAUUGUAGAUGAAGAGAGUUGGAAAGCUCCGCUAUAAAGUGUAAAAGCCACGUAAUCAAAACAAGAAGACUUCAGAUAUGAUCCAGAGUACCACGGGACACGUGAAACCCUGUGGGAAGCAGGAGGGACCAUCCUCCAAGCCUAAAUACUACCUAGUGACCGAUAGCGUAUAGUACCGUGAGGGAAAGGUGAAAAGAACCCCGGGAGGGGAGUGAAAUAGAACCUGAAACCCUACACUUACAAGCUGUAGGAGCACAUUACUUGUGUGACUGCGUACUUUUUGUAGAACGGGCCAACGAGUUACGUUACCUAGCAAGGUUAAGCACUUAAGGUGUGGAGCCGCAGCGAAAGCGAGUCUUAACUGGGCGCAUAGUUAGUUGACGUAGACCCGAAACCGGGCGACCUAUCCAUGGGCAGGUUGAAGCGAAAGUAAAAUUUCGUGGAGGACCGAACCCACGAGCGUUGAAAAGCUCGGGGAUGACCUGUGGAUAGCGGUGAAAUUCCAAUCGAGCCCGGAGAUAGCUGGUUCUCUCCGAAAUAGCUUUAGGGCUAGCCUCAAGAUUUAGAGAAACGGGGGUAGAGCACUGAAUGUCCUAGGGGGUAUUGCACUUACCGAAGACUAUCAAACUCCGAAUACCGUAUUCUUAUGCUUGGGAGUCAGACUAUGGGUGAUAAGAUUCAUAGUCAAAAGGGCAACAGCCCAGAUCGUCAGCUAAGGUCCCUAAAUGUACGUUAAGUGGUAAAGGAUGUGGGAUUGCACAGACAACCAGGAUGUUGGCUUAGAAGCAGCCACUCAUUUAAAGAGUGCGUAAUAGCUCACUGGUCGAGUGAUCCUGCGCCGAAAAUUUCCGGGGCUAAAACGUACUACCGAAGCUACGGCAUCAUUUAUGAUGGGUAGGAGAGCUUUCUAUACGGAUUGAAGCAUUACCGUAAGGAGAUGUGGACUGUAUAGAAGUGAGAAUGUUGGCAUGAGUAGCGAGAUGUGGGUGAGAAUCCCACAGGCCGUAAACCCAAGGUUUCCAGGGGAAGGUUCGUCCGCCCUGGGUUAGUCAGGACCUAAGCCGAGGCCGAAAGGCGUAGGUGAUGGACAACAGGUUGAUAUUCCUGUACCACCAAUAACCGUUUGAGAAAUGGGAUGACACAGUAGGAUAAGCUAACCGCACUGUUGGUUAUGUGCGGGCAAGUAUUGAGGCAGUUUAGGUAGGCAAAUCCGCCUGAAUAAUGCUGGGGUACGAUGCGGAGCGAAAUUUAGUAGCGAAGUAGCUGAUUUCACACUGUCGAGAAAAGUCUCUAUCGAGGUUAAAGGUGCCUGUACCGCAAACCGACACAGGUGGGUGAGGAGAGUAUCCUAAGGCCAGCCAGAGAACUGUUGUUAAGGAACUCGGCAAAAUGACCCCGUAACUUAGGGAGAAGGGGUGCCUUCGAAAGAAGGCCGCAGAGAAUAGGCCCAAGCGACUGUUUACCAAAAACAUAGGUUUCUGCUAAGUCGCAAGACGAUGUAUAGGAGCUGACGCCUGCCCGGUGCUGGA
rnacentral:rRNA from 1 species